rnacentral:rRNA from 1 species
CGGCGGACGGGUGCGUAACACGUGGAUAAUCUGCCUCGUGGCGGGGGAUAACAGUCCGAAAGGACUGCUAAUACCGCAUGUCAGGUCGGAAACCCCGGUUUCUGACGAAAAAGAGGGCGCCCGCAAGGGGGCUCUCACCACGAAGAUGAGUCCGCGGCCCAUCAGCUAGUUGGCGGUGUAAUAGACCACCAAGGCUAAGACGGGUAGCUGGUCUGAGAGGAUGACCAGCCACACUGGGACUGAGACACGGCCCAGACUCCUACGGGAGGGCAGCAGUGGGGAAUAUUGGACAAUGGGCGAAAGCCUGAUCCAGCCAUGCCGCGUGAGUGAUGAAGGUCUUCGGGAUCGUAAAGCUCUGUGGGAAGGGACGAAAAAAGCCUAACCUAAUACGUUAGGUCGUUGACGGUACUUCUUAGCAGCACCGGCUAACUCCGUGCCAGCAGCCGCGGUAAUACGGAGGGUGCAAACGUUGCUCGGAUUAU